AACGAACGCUGGCGGCAUGCCUAACACAUGCAAGUCGAACGAACCCUUCGGGGUUAGUGGCGCACGGGUGCGUAACGCGUGGGAACCUGCCUUUAGGUUCGGAAUAACUCAGAGAAAUUUGAGCUAAUACCGGAUAAUGUCUUCGGACCAAAGAUUUAUCGCCUUUAGAUGGGCCCGCGUUAGAUUAGAUAGUUGGUGGGGUAAUGGCCUACCAAGUCGACGAUCUAUAGCUGGUCUGAGAGGAUGAUCAGCCACACUGGGACUGAGACACGGCCCAGACUCCUACGGGAGGCAGCAGUGGGGAAUAUUGGACAAUGGGCGAAAGCCUGAUCCAGCAAUGCCGCGUGAGUGAUGAAGGCCUUAGGGUUGUAAAGCUCUUUUACCAGGGAUGAUAAUGACAGUAC
rnacentral:rRNA from 1 species